rnacentral:rRNA from 1 species
GACGAACGCUGGCGGCGUGCUUAACACAUGCAAGUCGAACGCGUGUAGCAAUACACGAGUGGCGCACGGGUGAGUAACGCGUGGAUAUCUGCCUUUUGGUUCGGAAUAACUCCGGGAAACUGGAGCUAAUACCGGAUGGUUCCUACGGGAUAAAGAUUUAUCGCCAAAAGAUGAGUCCGCGUACGAUUAGCUAGUUGGUGAGGUAAUGGCUCACCAGGGCGACGAUCGUUAGCUGGUCUGAGAGGACGAUCAGCCACACUGGGACUGAGACACGGCCCAGACUCCUACGGGAGGCAGCAGUGGGGAAUAUUGGACAAUGGGGGCAACCCUGAUCCAGCCAUGCCGCGUGAGUGAUGAAGGCCUUCGGGUUGUAAAGCUCUUUUGGCGGGGACGAUGAUGACGGUACCCGCAGAAUAAGCCCCGGCUAACUUCGUGCCAGCAGCCGCAGUAAAAC